CUUGCUCUGUCUACAUAAAGACUUGGACGGGACGGCACCAAAGGGAUCACGGCAUCAACGCGCAGCUGAAACCCAGCGUUCGGAGACGCCGCUCCGAGACGAAUGUGAAAGGGAGUGAGUGAGAACACGGAGGAGCUCGGAGCGGCAGGACGCUGAGCGUUGGAUGUGCGUUUUCCUCCAGAUGCCGCUUUGUGACCACAGGCGCUCCGUCCACGCUUCUGCAGCGAGCGUUGUCCUCCAGAGCUGUGGAGUGUGACAAUGGUGUUUGUGUCCUCCGUAUCAAACGCCAUUAUCACACUAAAUAGCUACAGUGUGAAAAGGACCUCAUGUGUUCAUCUGUGCUCAUAUUGGAAAGGGUUUGCUUCUCUACACGUUGCAGCUGUUGAGUCUUUCCGGCUGUGAGGCACUUUUCAGUCUGAUGCUUCAUCCACAAACAUUCAUAUAAAUAAAAAGUUAUAUAUUUUU